rnacentral:rRNA from 1 species
AACAAACGCUGGCGGCGCGUUUUAAGCAUGCAAGUCGAACGGGAAGAGUACCUUCGGGUACUUGGAGAGUGGCGAACGGGUGAGUAACACGUAGAUGAUCUAUCCAUGGAUGGGGGAUAGCCUAUGGAAACAUGGGAUAAUACCGCAUGAAGUUAUAUAUGUAAGGUAUAUAAUGAAAGGUGCAAUUGCAUCGUCUGAGGAUGAGUCUGCGGUUCAUUAGCUAGUUGGCAGGGUAAAGGCCUACCAAGGCGAUGAUGGAUAGCCGGCCUGAGAGGGUGGACGGCCACACUGGGACUGAGACACGGCCCAGACUCCUACGGGAGGCAGCAGCUAAGAAUCUUCCGCAAUGGGCGAAAGCCUGACGGAGCGACGCCGCGUGGGCGAAGGAGGCCGAGAGGUUGUAAAGCUCUUUUCUUGAUGAAGAAUAAUGCCAGGAGUGGAAAGCCUGGCAGAUGACGUUAGUCAAGGAAUAAGCCCCGGCUAAUUACGUGCCAGCAGCCGCGGUAAUACGUAUGGGGCGAGCGUUGUUCGGAAUUAUUGGGCGUAAAGGGCGUGUAGGCGGUUUAUCAAGCCUGGUGUUAAAAUGCACAGCUUAACUGUGUAGGUGCGCUGGGAACUGGUAGGCUUGAGUUUAGGAAGGGAAGCUGGAAUUCCUGGUGUAGGGGUGAAAUCUGUAGAUAUCAGGAAGAACACCGGUGGCGAAGGCGAGCUUCUAGCCAUAGACUGACGCUGAGGCGCGAAAGCGUGGGGAGCGAACAGGAUUAGAUACCCUGGUAGUCCACGCUGUAAACGAUGUGCACUAGGUGUAGGUGAUGUGAUAGUCAUCUGUGCCGCAGCAAACGCGAUAAGUGCACCGCCUGGGGAGUAUGCCCGCAAGGGUGAAACUCAAAGGAAUUGACGG